AAUGAAACUACUACAGUGUGGCUAACAUAUAACACUGUUUGUCGAAUGGCAUUUAUCACUUUAUUGUGAUAAUUCCCAUUUCAGUUCAAGAAUAACAUAUGCAACAUGACGUACGACGGUAUUACCGUCGUAACGUUCCUGAAUGAUAUGAACGCGUAUUGCUACUAUUUGAAUGUACUCAAUGAAUAUGAGAUUGAUUCAGAUAGAGACAUGUAUGGUAAUAUAUGUUCAAUGUAUCAUUUGUAU
rnacentral:rRNA from 1 species